rnacentral:hammerhead_ribozyme from 1 species
AUCCGGUUGACGAGUCCGAAAUAAGACGAAACGUUCGUCGAAUUGGAU